UACAGGGGGUGCAAACGUUGCUCGGAAUUAUUGGGCGUAAAGCGCGCGUAGGCGGUUUUCUAAGUCGGAUGUGAAAGCCCUUGGCUCAACCGAGGAAGUGCAUCCGAAACUGGAAAGCUAGAGUCCCAAAGAGGAUCGCGGAAUUCCCAGUGUAGAGGUGAAAUUCGUAGAUAUUGGGAGGAACACCAGUGGCGAAGGCGGCUCACUGGCCCGUUACUGACGCUGAGGCACGAAAGCGUGGGGAGCAAACAGG
rnacentral:rRNA from 1 species